rnacentral:pre_miRNA from 1 species
UAUUAAAAAUUUCAUCUAUUUCUACUAUUGAAAACUUGUGUACCUGACAAAAUAAGCAGACAGUUACAUGUACCUCAUGCUAAUAUACAAAGACUAAUUUUUAGCGGUAAAAAUGGCUAGAAUUUUUAAUA